GACGUAAAAGGCGCGUGCUUUAAAGAUGGCGGCGUCUGUGGAUGUCGGAAGUAACACUAGUGUUUUUAUUAGCACUCAAGUAAAGUCUAAACUUUAGGGGGGGGGAAACUGUUUCGAGUCGCUAGGACUGAUCACGUCGAUAAAUCACACCAGGACCUUUAAAGGAAAAUGGCAUAAAAAAAAGAAAGAAGAAGAAGCGGGUUUAAGAAGUGGGACAUGGUUUGCUAGCUGGCUAGCAGCGUCUAACCACGCCCACUACUGAAACGUUAGGCUGUUUUGCAUGCUGUUUUAACUAGGUUUAGUUUCAGUAGCUUGUGGUCUUGGAUGUCGCUUAGUCUCUGGCGCUAGCAGGGUUAACAGUUAGUUAAUCGAACUUUUCGUUAUGAUAACUAGCUGUUUAGUUGUAGCGUAGCUGGCAGGUGCGUGUGUGACCUUUGCUGUCGUUAUUACUUCCGAGCGAACUCUUCAACUUCUCUGGCACCGAGAGUGAUUAUCGAUAUUGCGCUUUAUUUGGAAUCGAGGGUCACUUUUAUACACACAUUAUUAUUAUUAUUUAAAGUCAACUUUGAUAUCCUGGUUCUGGUAAUGGUUCUGGGUGAACUUUUAAGCUAGCUAGUUGGCAAGCUAGUAAACUAGCUGGACUGACAGGUGGGCAGCUGUCUUCUUUUAAUAGCCACUAGACCUGGCAUUAAGUUUAAGCUCAUAUUAUACACCUGUCAGGGCGGCUGUGGGUGGAAACUAAUAACAUAUUUAGUAAAGUAUUUUCAUAGCAGAAAGUGAAUCUAUCUAAUAUUGCAUUGGAUAAGUCAUAUUCUACUAUUCAGUUGAACUUUUCUAGUUAAGGAUAGUUUUGCGUUAUUCCACUACUUUCGGCAUUAUUCUUGUCCAUCAGCAUCUGGAUAACAAAAAGCUUUAAGCAUCGAAUGACCAAACACAUUUGAGGCCACUGACAUUAUAUUGUUUUUAUUUUUCUGGACAGCUUUCUCAGGUUCCUUUGGACACACCGACUACUACUUAGCUAGGUGGGCAGCUGUACUUUGUCCAUAUACCUGCCAUUAAUCUAGUUUAUGAUUGAUAUAUAUAUAUAUAUAUAAUGUGUCAGGGUGGUAGGAAGAAAAGACAAUAAAAUAAUAUCUUGUGUACAGAAAUUAGAUCUUUCCAUUGCUGCCAUUUAUGGUUCUAUGAUCAGAAAACUACAAACGAAGUUAAUGCAUUGUUCAACCCGUCAGCUUUGGAUAUGUGAAAUCUUCCAGUAGAUUUUUACUCCCUGACCGGUUAAUUCACUGGCGCAAUUUUCCACCCAGAAAGUUUUUGUUUACUAGGGUCUCUUUGCACCCACAGUCUAUUCGGGGCCACUACGAUCCUCCCCAUCUUUCUUCUGUUUACGGCCCCUUUGGACCGAACCACUAGAGUUGCAAACUUUUGUCACUUAGAAUGACACUCCGUGCUUUAAGGACAUUUCUCGGCUGUCGAAAUCGUGUCGUGGCAAUCAUCAGUGGGAGCGGACGCCCAUAUCUCCAUCAGACCGGUGUGUGUCAAGGUGCUUCACAGGCUGACAGUGGUUUCAAACCUUCAAAAGUUGCAGUGGUGACUAAAACCACACGGUAUGAAUUUGAGCAGCAGAGGUAUCUCUGCGCUGGACUGUCAGAAGAGGAUCUCAAACAGCUGCUUGCCUUGAAGGGAUCCAGUUACAGCGGACUUCUGGAACGGCACAACAUACACACACACAAUGUUGGACACAUCGUGGACAAUCUGCAAAAACAGGGCAUGGAGGUCUGUGUGGUUAAAAGAGGAGAGUACGAUGAAGACACAGUCAGAUGGGCAGAUGCUAUUGUGUCUGCUGGAGGUGAUGGCACUAUGCUGCUGGUUGCAAGUAAAGUUUUUGAUAAGAACAAACCUGUAAUAGGAGUCAACACUGAUCCAGAACGGUCUGAGGGCCAUCUGUGCUUGCCUGUGCGCUAUACACAUGCAUUCUCUGAAGCAUUACGAAAACUUAGGAAGGGAGACUUCAGGUGGCAGUGGCGUCAGCGGAUCCGCAUGCACUUGGAGGGCACAGGGAUCAACCCCACUCCGGUGGAUCUGCACGAGCAGCAGUUGAGUUUAGAGCAACACACCAACGCACACCGCAUCACCACCAACUCCCAAACCAGAAGAACACAUGACACCUACACAUCGCCAUAUCUUCUUCCCGUCCGAGGACUCAAUGAAAUCUUCAUCGGAGAGUCUCUCUCCUCCAGGGGGAAGUAUAAAUCCUUCAAACCCCAUCUUACCCUCUCGCUCCAUAGGGCUUCCUACUAUGAGAUCUCGAUCGAUGAUGGACCAUGGGAGAAGCAGAAGAGCUCAGGACUUAGCGUUUGCACUGGAACUGGAUCCAAAGCUUGGUCUUAUAAUAUUAAUAAACUUGUGGAACAGACUGUGGAGGACGUCCUUCGAAUAGGCAAAGGAAAAACUGGUAUUGAUAUUCCACUAAACCAGGAAGUCAUCAGAAGUGUGACUGAUGCCUACAAUGAGGCUCUCAUAUUCAGUCCUGAGGAGAACCGAAUUUUCUUUAGCGUUCGAGAGCCCAUCGUCAACAGAGUGUUUUCCAACAGCCGCCAAAGAGGAUUUGCAAGCAAGGUGUGCGUCCGCUCAAGGUGCUGGGACGCCUGCAUGGUGGUGGACGGAGGAACAUCCUUCGAGUUCAACGAUGGUGCUAUUGCCACUAUCAGCUUGCACGAGGAGGACCUGCUGAAAACUGUUCUACUUGAUGACUGAACUCAUGAAUGUAGUUUAAUACUGAAGCGUCAUAAACCAUGUCUGGACUGGAAGACGAUCAUUGACGUAAGGUCAAAAACGGGUUACUGUCUUUCAACCUGAAGGCUCAUCAGUUGUUACAAACUUGUAAUUUUAUGGUUUUACAGGAAGGGUAAAAUCUUUUUUGUGGUGUUGCUAUGAAAUCCCAGCAGACUGACCAAGAUGGAAAUUGGAUCGUCUAUGGCAUUUUCGCCCAAACAGAAUGCCAUGCAUUUUGUUGGCAUUGUUCUAACUAAUAAGAAAGACGUAGAUGCAUUUAGAUCAAUUUUGUUUGCACUUUUGGCUCCCACCCAUGCAAAUGUGAAUACAAUCAGGGGACAUGCAGCUUUGAACACAAAGGGGCGAGUGAUUAUGGUGAAAAUUUUUCAGUUAAAUGAUUUUCAUGGUAUAUCUUCCAAACAUUUAAAGCCAUCAGAACAGUAUAAUAUAAUAAAUCAGUUUUGUUCCAUAGUAAUAGGGCUUAAUGACAAAAUAAUCAAGCCCUUUUACAUCUACCUACAGUAUUCAAAGACUUUCCUAAAACAGAAGCCAAUUAAAACAAAGUGACAGUGAUAAGCAGUUACUAAAUAUGAAUAAAUGAAUGCAGUAAACGUGCACACGUGAGCACUCCAGAAGGCCUGAUACACUCCUGUGUUAAUGAGCUUGGCCUUUUUCUGUUCUGCAGGCUUAUCUCUGAUCAUGUUGGUGAGUAUAAAAAACAAUGUCCAAAAAGUUUGUGAUUUGUCAGAUCCCAGUCUUGAUACACAACUCUAGUUUGUUUUUGUUUUUUUUAAGUGGUCAGUGUUACUGAAGUACUGAUAUGUGAUAUCAUGGAAUAACUGACUUCACUGCGGAUGUACCAUCAUAUCACCGCCCCUAGUAUUCAAGCAUGCAUAUCACGUUAAUGUCUCAUAGCAGUAAAUGUAGGUGACUGGAUUUGUGUUUGGAUUUUGACAUUUUUCCACUCAUCAAAGGGAACUCAUUCAAAAUGGGUGAAGUUAUUCAGUAGAACUGAUAAAGCCCUUCAGGUGAGUAACCCAAAUUCAUCUGCAAUUGCCUGGAUGUACUGCAAUAAGACAUUCCACAUUGAAUUGUCCAUUUACAACACUUAGUGGCCAUGUAGUAUUAUUCGAGACAGGAAGCCCAUGUUAUUGGCAGAUCUCAGAGCAUUACUUUUUAUUGCUCCACUACAAUGUGCCAUAAUGUUUUGUAUAGAGAAAAGACAAGAGUGGAAUGUCUAUAGUGCUGAAUUCUUUAUUAAAAAAAAAAAAACUUUGUUUCAUGUUCUAAUUUCAGAUGUUGUGUAGACCAAAUACCAAAGCAUUGACCGUUUCCCUUUUAUUAUAUUUACCCAGGUUUAUUUUCCAAAGUAGUUACAUCCUGGUACGACUCUCCUACCAAUAUAUACAUAUACACGUUCUAUCAGCUGCCUGGGGCAUGAUUCGUAUUCAAACUGACAGUUUCUUGACCACAGGGUAAAACUUGACAGUAUAAGAAUUUCAUGGACUCAGCACCGUUCCUCAUAUUUCCCAUAGAAAAGAGAAGAAAAUUGAGCAAAAAUAUUUAUUUAAAAUCAGUGAAUAUCCGAACAAAUAAGUAAAUAUCCAUAAAAAUACAUUGUCAAGUUCUCAAUACAGAAUUGUUUCAAGUUUCCACAUUUUCAUAAUCGGUCGAAAAAAAAAGGCCAACCGAUUUCAAGACUUCAGGUAUUUUGGUCACAAAAACAUUAUAAAAAAAAAAAAAAAAAGUGAUAUACAAAACGCUAGAAUUAUUUAGAAGUUAUUAACAAUGAAAUGUCAGACAAAAUGAGUAAACAAAUGUAUUGCAACUGGUUUCCAAAAAAAAAAAAAAAAAGGAACUUUGGGGGAGGAAUUGUACCUGAUCAAUAGUACUUACACAUGUUCUCUCUUUGUUGUUACUUGGUUUGCAAAAAUAAUUUUUAGGCUAUGGAGCAGUGUUUCAGAUUAGCCAUAUCGAGACAUGAGCUGAGGAUGAGAGAUCAGAAUUGUGAUUGUCAGAAACAGACAAUUAGCCAAGAACAGGUACGUCUUACACGAGGGCGGCUGGGUGAAUCUGGUAGCAGCGACUCAGCGCUAAGUGUCUCAGUGAGGGGAGCUGCUGCAGGAAGGGGAAACUGUCUGUGGUCACGAGAACGCUGUCGCUGUGAGAAAAGCAUUUCAAAUGAAUACAUAUCUUUGUAAAGAAUGCUUACACUGCACUGUACACCAAUUAACCUCAAGUUGUAGCACAGUGGUUAAAGAGUUCAGAAGUUUAAAUCCCAGGAUACACCAAGCUGCCACUGCUGGGUCCUAAAAAGUUGUAUAAAUGAGAUAAAUGUGGAUAAGAGCGCCUGCCAUGAAUGUAAAUGCCUCUUACCUUAAAUCCAAAUGUGUGAGAUUCGGACAUCUUUCCACCAGCACCUUCACAUCUAAACGACAGAGGAAAAGAAGUGGACGUUAUACCAAGGAUAAAGUUAAAUCAUCUCUUUUACAGUAGCUGCUACUACUGCAUUUACUGAAGGGCUAGAGAUGAUACACUACACGAAAUCACUGAGAUUUUACUUACUGUCCAUGGUAAAGUUUUGCCUGUAGCCGCUGAUGUUGAGCUGAGCGAUGGUGGUGGGGACGUUGUUAACGACAGCCUCAACAUGAUCACUGCUAAAGUCACACCACGACACGUUCAGCUCCUCAAGCCUGGAACAUACAGAACAGAUGGGUAAAGAAACAGACAGGAACAACAUGUACAGUCAUGCUCUUCACCCCACCACAAUACCUUAGCAUAUGUCACUAGAUGAGAUGGCUAAUUAUUUUAUUUUUAUCCAUUUUUUUGACCAAGCAAUUCUGCAAAAGUCCAGUGUGAACACUACUUAAUAAUCAGCAGCUCCACCAUUUAUUUUGGCUCACUUUCAAAGUUCAGUACACAGUGAAAUUACACACUGUCAGAGGCAAAUAUGUCUUUCACACCCUGCGUCCAUUCUCCUUGAGUGAACUGGCUCUCCCAUCUGACAUUCAUUAAUAUGUGAUGUGUUUAGUGUUCACUGAUCCAUAAUAACUGCCUGGUCUAGGUCAUGGUAGUUUAAAUGAGACUGCUAUUUUGGAAAACAGAACUAAUUAACAAAUAAUGGUUAAAAAUAAGACCAAAAAAAAAGCCCGAGACCAAAUAUGGACCAGCAGUUUUUAUCAGAGAUUUCGCUGAAACAAUUAACACAAGUGUGGCAGCUCACUUGUUACACCCCUUUAACCCCUUAUCCACUCGUCUUACUUGGUGCAGGAUUGAAGCAUCUCGGUCAGAGAGUCAGCAGAGAAACCACUACAGCCGCACAGGUUCAGUCGCACCAGCUCUGCGUUCUCACUCAAAGAUCUGCCCAAACACAUGAAACACUAUGAACUCACGUCAUAAGCAAGACUUUAAAAAUAAGCAUUUGUUCCAUCACUUGAGCUCACACACACCGAAGGAUGGAGUCAGACAGGACGAGUCCCUCCACACUGAGGUUCUGCAGCCGACUGCAGCGCGACAGGAUGUCCUCCAGCACAGGUGUCUGCACGGUGCAGCUGGACAGGUCCAAAUGCUGGACACGCAGGAGUCUGCAAGACACUCGGAGUUUAGCGUCAUUAAACCACAACUAAACUCUCCAGUGUAUAUAACGCACACAUACGACUCACUGUGUGUUCUUAAAGCAGGGGUCGCCUAUGCAGGAAUGUGGACAGCGCAGCCUCGACACCCCCGCUGUGAGCACCUGACCCAGCUCGCCAUUCAGCUGUGCUUUUCCCACCAGGUCAGCACUGUGCCACAGCGACUCAUCAAACCUACACACACAAAAAUUAGAUCCAGUUGUCACAAUCACUAAACAGGACAGAUCUAGGGCGUAAACAAAAUGUCACAGGCCAAUGAGUAGAAGUUAUUAAUCUAUUUUUUUUUUUUUUUUUAAGUGCACCAUGUUACAGUUAUAAUCCAGCCAGAGGUUGGAAAUCCAAAAAUACAAUUAACAUUAAUUAUCUUUUCAGAUUAAUAUAUCCUAACACAUUAUUAUGCAAUAGGUAGUCUCGAUGAAGUGAGGGUGUGCAAAUUGUUGCACUCAACUCUACAAAUACUCUAGUCUGAGGGCUUCAGAGUUUUAGUCUGCCUUAACAGCAAGGAACAGGGAAUCCAAAAUGUACAACGAGCAAAGCUUGAAAAGAAAAUAGUCGGUAUGGAACUUACGCCAGUCGAUGCCAGCGCUUGCAGACGUGAGACGUCCUGAGAAGGUCUUGUAACGAGAGACGAGAGAAAAUCCCCAACAGCAGUUCGUCUGGGAGGGUGUCCCAACACAGUACACCUGCAGAUAAACAUCAACAUGUCAUGUUUUCACUUUGGCUAAACGUUUUCUAAAUUGUUGCCCACAAUGAUAUUUAUUAACCUGUUAAUAUAGUGGUGCAGUGGAAUUCUAACAGCUCAUAGGUAUAAAAGGGGAAAAAACCCAUCCCAAAUAUAAUGUGUUUCAGGGUGGACUUUUCCUUUAAAACCAGGUGUCAGAAAUCUGAAAACUACCACAAUGCUGAAAUUAUAACCUACCUGCCGUGUCUCUGCUCCUCCUGGGGCGUCUGGCGAGGACAAAGACAUUUUCUUUGCCCUUGGCACAGGGCCGUGGCUGUUUACGGGGAGGAGACCAGUGCUGGAUAAGCUCGUGAGGAGUGUUUUCAGCCUGCAGUCCAUCUCCAUAAGCACACGGCCUUUUCUUCGCUUUGGACUGAGACAUGCACAACAGAGAGCCAUCGAGAUUCUCAUUCAGACACGGCAACUCCUGGAGAGGCCUGAGAUAUGGGAACAGUCAGCAUUAUUACAUGCAGGUCAUUUUCUUACAUUUCACAAGAUCAUAGGAGGCAUAGAAACCUCGUAUUAUACAUUUUGUGUCUUAAACCACAAGCAAC